CAGUAAACUACAAUUCUCAUUAGCCUG
rnacentral:sRNA from 1 species